CCCGCGCCGAUGCCGACGGCGACGGCAUAGUGGGCGGGAGCGGUAAGGGAGGAGGUGCGCGGGCUCCUCGUGGCGGCUGCAGUGAGCGGGGCUGCGGGCUGCAGGGCCGGCGCCAUGUUUCUCGCUGCUCCUGUUCGCGCCGCCGCCGCGCACUCGGUGAGACAGAUCCGCUACUUGCAUAAAACAGCUGUGCGCAGUGGAGGUGGAGGAGCCUUGUUUCUGCACAGAGAUACUCCUGAAAAUAACCCAGAUACACCAUUUGAUUUCACACCUGAAAACUAUAAGAGAAUAGAAGCAAUAGUAAACCACUACCCAGAGGGACAUAGAUCAGCUGCUGUGAUUCCGGUACUAGAUCUGGCCCAGAGACAGAAUGGAUGGUUGCCCAUAUCAGCGAUGAACAAGGUUGCUGAAGUUUUACAGAUGCCUCCCAUGAGAGUAUAUGAAGUAGCAACUUUCUAUACAAUGUAUAAUCGGAAGCCUGUUGGAAAAUAUCAUAUUCAGAUCUGCACAACUACUCCUUGUAUGCUGAGAGACUCUGAUGGCAUACUAGAGGCUAUUCAGAAGAAGCUUGGUAUACAAGUUGGGGAAACGACACCUGAUAAACUUUUCACGCUGGUAGAAGUCGAAUGUUUAGGCGCUUGCGUAAAUGCACCGAUGGUACAAAUAAAUGAUAAUUAUUAUGAAGAUCUGACACCAAAAGAUAUUGAAGACAUAAUUGAUGAACUAAAGGCUGGCAGAGUUCCCAACCCUGGCCCAAGAAAUGGACGCUUUUCUUGUGAGCCAGUUGGUGGUCUUACUUCUCUGACUGAACCACCUAAAGGACCUGGAUUUGGAGUUCGAGCAGACCUCUAAGCAGUUCUGGUGAAGGAGUUUAUGGAGGAACAAAUUUUUAUUUUAUUGAUAGCAUAACAACUGGGAGUUGCUGCUAUGGAAAGCCUUCAUAUGCUUUGCUGGAGCAGUGGUUCAUGUACCUGCCAGCACAGGAUGUUUCAAGGGAAAUGCCAACUCAGGGGAAGUAUUAUGGAACUGAACUGGGUUGACCUAUGGAGGAACUUGGCAGCUGCACCUGUGCACCAAGGAGAUGGAGACAUAGCAAGACUGGGAAGGAGAAGAUUGCUGAUGGAACUGAAAUGGUAGACACUUUCACUAUUGAAAGAUGCUGUUUCCUUUUAUUAAUCCUAAUGGCGGCUUUUCUAAAAACCUGGGAAACUUUUUCCAACAAUCAAGAUUGCAAAAUCAGCCAUCUUCUUUAGAUGACCCCUCACCUUUCAAUUCCUCCUUCGUAUUGACUCAACUGCUGUCCGUAGAUCCCCACAAGUAUAUCCUACAAAUGUAUACAAGAUCUCUUUGUUUGCCUCCUUGUCCUGAUGGACUGCACUGUAUGGACUUUCUGCGCUAUCCAGAAGCACCUUUAAUUGUGCGGAAGGGGGAGCCUUCAGGAUUUGAUCCAGAUCAUUGAAAAAGAGGCACGUUUUCUGCCAAGAAGGACCUACUGUUAUUCUUCCAUGUCUUGUUAUACAGGACUUCCAGGUUCUUUGUCUUCUCUUGGUACUACUUCUCCCCCCUAAGCGUACAUCUACACUUCCCAGCUCACACAGACGUACCCCCACUAUCUCUGCUUGAGCUAGCACCUAAAAAUAGUGUGUCCGCAGCAGCAUAGGCAGUGGCUCGGCCUCGCUGCCCCAAAAACAAUCCCACUUGAGUCUUUGGGUACGUACUCAGGUGGCUAGCUUCAGCUGCCAGACACACUGAUAUUUUGACACACUCGCUCAAGCAGAGAGUUAGCAUGGCUACAUUGUUGCAAGCUGGGAAUCACACCUCCCAGCUCAAAUGUAGAUGUAUCCCAUCUGAUGACCAGUUCAGCCAGUCAAACAUUAAAAUACUGUGAAUGAACAACUGCACCUGCCCUUGCAUAUAGUCUCCAAUGCCCAUGUCAGCCUCAGGCCAGCUGGCAACACCCUUAUUUGGUAGCUUCCAAGACAUGCUAGUAACAGAAUCAAAUAGCACACAACGAGCUCCAUGUUGGGCACAGUGCUAUUUGAAUAGGAAAUUGGCUUCCAGAAAACUUGAUUCCUAUGUAGCAGAGUUCAGAAUGCAUAUUAGACAGGCUACCUAAGCAGUGACCAGUGCCCUAUGGAAUGGUAGCAGUAGGAAUAUUUGCUUUUAGGGGUCUGCAACAAUCUCUGUCUAUGCAUACGUUGCAAAGAUAGAGACUGGUAUAGUGGAGGACUACACAAUGUUUCACAUUCCUCAAAAAAAGUUAGUUCAAAAAAGUGCUUGGAACUCCUGUGUACCACUGCAAACACUUGUGUGUGUGGACAUGGUAUGCCCCAUGUUAGGAAGAACCAUACAAGACCACAGCAACUCAGUGACAGUGGAAACAAUUCAGGUGACCAAGCUUCCAGUCUUAUGCUAGCAGUUCCCAAUUGUGACAGUCUUCUGUUCUGACCACUUUCUCAAUGACUUAUUUGAUUCUUGGCACUAAGAAGAACUCAUUUACCUGAAAUGUGGCAACGAGAUGACUCCUCUGCAUGAGUUUAUGUUUAAAUAUUACUGAUUUUUCUCCUAGAUCUUGUUCUAUCUCAUUUCUAAGAUGCCUAUCGCUGGGGUAACUUAGCACCUAAUGACUUUAGAGGUGACCUGCAAUGGAGAAAUAUAGUGUAAGCUCUUUGUUUCUAAUGUUGUAUAAAAGAUCUAUAGAGUAUUUUUAUUCUUUUUUGCUUUUCUUUUUUUUUUUUUACACUUGAAAUUCAUAUCUGCUUCUCUUGCAAGAUUAUGUGGUUGACUUCAGAAUUAGUAGGAUUACCACAUUUACCAAAUAAAUGAAUGCUGAUUGACAGAAUUUUUAUUCAAAGCAUUUAAGUAUGUUUUAUUUCCAUCCUGAAAAUUUCAUCUUGUAGAGAAUUCAUAUUUGUGACUUGUACAUUGUGUGUAUUUGUAUUAUGUGUAUGUGUGUAUUAAUAGAGAAACUCUUGCUUCUUGCACACUUAGCAACUAAGUAUGUUCUAGAAGGAGCUUAGGCAUGCCAGCUGAAAGGGAACUCAAGAGAAUCGACUUGUACCCAAUUUCCCCUGCCUUAAAAUGCCAAACUGCAAAGAUCUGAUCUACACAAUAAAAUGUUUCUAAAAGUUGCUCUCCAGCUCAUUGAUGAUAGCAAUGUUGGGUGCCAGUGUGCUGAUUACACCAGCUCUGAGCUAGGUUAUGUAACAUGUUGGUUAAAACAGUGCAGUGGCUGACAAAGUGCCUACACUAGGGCUCCCCUACGUUGCCACUACUGAUGGGAGUGAACCAGUAUUAGCAAGCAUAGGAUUUUUUAAAAUUUCCUUAUGUAGAUAGAUCUUAGGAGCUAGGAGUGUAUUAAUAAACUACAAAACAGCUUUGAACAAACACCUAACCAAAUAUCUAUGGAAAAAGUUUUGUUAAAAGUUUCAACAACCAUUCCCCCUUUAUUAAAGAAUAAGAGAAAAAUCCAUGUUUUAGUCUUGAAAGACAACCUCCAGAAAAGAUAAGACUUGACACUGCUAAGGUU